rnacentral:rRNA from 1 species
AUACGAACGAGACUCUAUCCUACUAACAUCUGCUUUAUUGCGGAAUUAGAAGGUAAGACUCGACGGCACACAUAGACUUCGAGUAUGUGAGGCGCGCGCCUCGUGCGUGUGUUUUUUCGUACUUGCGGUUAUAAUCGUGUCGUUUGUCUGCCUGUCCUCUGCGAGGCAAGAGUACGCGUACUGAAUGUUGCUGCCUGUCUCGACACUGCGCGCGCACACGCGUUGAGCGUCUAGGGGAAACUUUAGAUUGCGAGGCGCGCGCGCGUCGCGUGUGUUUUCGUGUACGUUCGGUGGUUCAACGCACAGUCGCUUCUCGAGCCCGGAGGAACGAAAUAUCUUUUUAGAGGUAUCGAUGACUCUUUAGAGUGGUAAGAAAGAGAGAGCAAUAACAGGUCUGUGAUGCCCUCAGAUGCCCCGGGCUGCACGCGAGUUACAAUGCCGGGUGUAAUGGGUGUUGACUCUAUUCAAGAGUAUACUCCUUCUCCGAGAGGAGCGGGUAAUCCCUAAAACCCUUUCAACUCGGCGUAUACGCGACGGGUGCGUUUCGUGCGCGCUCGCUCGUGUGUGCGCCUAAUGUGGCUCGCUUGGGCCUGGGGCUUGGUAAAGUAUUUCCCGUGAACGAGGAAUGCCUCGUACUGGCCGAUCACCAGUCGGUCGGGAUUGAGUCCCUGCCCUUUGUACACACCGCCCGUCGCUACUACCGAUUGAGCGUACCGGUGAGAGUCUUGGAGUGGAGCGAAGUUCCAGUAGCUUCCGCUCGACUAAGAGAUUCCAACCGGUGCACUUAGAGGAAGUAAAA